CCUACGGGAGGCAGCAGUGAGGAAUAUUGGUCAAUGGGCGGGAGCCUGAACCAGCCAAGUCGCGUGAGGGAAGACGGUCCUAUGGAUUGUAAACCUCUUUAGGCGGGGAGCAAUGCCGGGCACGCGUGCCCGGAGGGAGAGUACCCGCAGAAUAAGCAUCGGCUAACUCCGUGCCAGCAGCCGCGGUAAUACGGGGGAUGCGGGCGUUAUCGGGUUUUAUUGGGUUUAAAGGGUGCGUGGGGGGAGUUUUAAGUCAGCGGUAAAAUGUCGGGGCUCAACCCGGGCCGGCCGUUGAAACUGGGGAUCUGGAGUGGGUGAGAGGUAUGCGGAAUGCGUGGUGUAGCGGUGAAAUGCAUAGAUAUCACGAGGAACGCCGAUUGCGAAGGCAGCAUACCGGCGCCCGACUGACGCUGAGGCACGAAAGCGUGGGGAUCGAACAGGAUUAGAUACCCGAGUAGUC
rnacentral:rRNA from 1 species